UAUGUACUCCCUCUGUCCGAAAAUACUUGUCGAAGAAAUGGAUGUAUCUAGAUGCAAUUUAGUUUUAGAUACAACCAUUUUCAUCCAUUUCUCUGACAAGUAUUUUCGGACGGAGGGAGUACUAC
rfam:Triticum aestivum genome assembly, contig: Triticum_aestivum_CS42_TGACv1_scaffold_410643_5BL